rnacentral:rRNA from 1 species
AUUGAACGCUGGCGGCAGGCCUAACACAUGCAAGUCGAGCGCGCGGCGGACGGGUGAGUAAUGUAUGGGGACUGCCCGAUAGAGGGGGAUAACUACUGGAAACGGUGGCUAAUACCGCAUACUAUCGGAUAACCCAUAUGGGAUUAGCUAGUAGGUGGGGUAAAGGCUCACCUAGGCGACGAUCUCUAGCUGGUCUGAGAGGAUGAUCAGCCAGACGGGUACUGAGACAAGGCCCAGAAUCCGACGGAGGCAGCAGUGGGGAAUAUUGAGAAAUGGGCGCAAGCCUGAUGAAGCCAUGCCGCGUGUAUGAAGAAGGCGUUAGGGUUGUAAAGUACUGUCAGCGGAGAGGCGUUACCCGCAGAAGAAGCACCGGCUAACUCCGUGCCAGCAGCCGCGGUAAUUC